rnacentral:rRNA from 1 species
UAACGCGUGGGUACCGUGCCUCAUACAGGGGGAGUAACAGUUAGAAAUGACUGCUAAUACCGCAUAAGCGCACAGUGCUGCAUGGCACAGUGUGAAAAACUCCGGUGGUAUGAGAUGGACCCGCGUCUGAUUAGCUAGUUGGUGGGGUAACGGCCUACCAAGGCGACGAUCAGUAGCCGGCCUGAGAGGGUGAACGGCCACAUUGGGACUGAGACACGGCCCAAACUCCUACGGGAGGCAGCAUG